UGUGUCCCAUCGUCCCCCGUGUGUGUCCACGACUGGCUCCUGGGCGAUACUACGUCCGUGAGGGUGCACCUCACGCCCCCAUGUCCGGCUCUCUCUUCCAGCCCUGUCCCGUGUGUGUGUCCCUCCACCCCUCGCCAUGUACGCGUGUGCAAAGUUCGUCUCCGCUCCUGCACUAGUGAGGAAGAGCUCGCGGGUGCUGUGCCGGCCCCUCUCUGCCUCCGUGCUGAGCAGCCCUGAGGCCCGGACAGAGCAGGCCCGGCAGGGCGCCCAGAGCCAGCCUGCCUGCCGGGGCCUCCAGACCAGCACGGGC